rnacentral:rRNA from 1 species
AGGCGCAGCUGAUCUGACAUCCGCGUGCAGGAUGAAGGCCCUCGGGUUGUAAACUGAUUUUGUACGGAACGAAAAGGCUCUGGUUAAUACCUGGGGCUCAUGACGGUACCGUAAGAAUAAGCACCGGCUAACUACGUGCCAGCAGCCGCGGUAAUACGUAGGGUGCAAGCGUUAAUCGGAAUUACUGGGCGUAAAGCGUGCGCAGGCGGUGAUGUAAGACAGAGGUGACAUCCCCGGGCUCAACCUGGGAACUGCCUUUGUGACUGCAUUGCUGGAGUACGGCAGAGGGGGAUGGAAUUCCGCGUGUAGCAGUGAAAUGCGUAGAUAUGCGGAGGAACACCGAUGGCGAAGGCAAUCCCCUGGGCCUGUACUGACGCUCAAUGCACGAAAGCGUGGGGAGCCAACAGGAUUAGAUACCCUGGAUAAUCCACGCCCUACACGAUGUCAACUGGUUGAUGGGUCUUCACUGACUCAGAUACCGAAGCUAACGCAGUGAAGUUUGAACCGACUUGAGGAAGUACGGGCCGGACAGUUUGGAAAACUCACAAGGAAUUGACGGGGA